UACGAACUGUGCGAACGUUAUUCGGAAUCACUGGGCUUACAGGGUGCGUAGGCGGCUUGUUAAGUAGGGUGUGAAAGCCCCCGGCUCAACCGGGGAAUUGCGCCCUAAACUGGCGAGCUGGAGUGAGAUAGGGGUGUGUGGAACUUCCGGUGGAGCGGUGAAAUGUGUUGAUAUCGGAAGGAACGCCGGUGGCGAAAGCGACACACUGGAUCUUGUCUGACGCUGAGGCACGAAAGCCAGGGGAGCAAACAGG
rnacentral:rRNA from 1 species